UGGGGAAUAUUGCACAAUGGAGGGAACUCUGAUGCAGCGACGCCGCGUGAGUGAUGAAGGAAUUCGUUUCGUAAAACUCUGUUCUAUGGGAAGAAAAGGACUGUACCAUAGGAGAAAGCUCCGGCUAAAUACGUGCCAGCAGCCGCGGUAAUACGUAUGGAGCGAGCGUUGUCCGGAAUUAUUGGGCGUAAAGGGUGCGCAGGCAGCUUUACAAGUUGGAUGUGAAAUAUUGUGGCUCAACCACAAACGUGCAUCCAAAACUGCAAAGCUUGAGUUAAGGAGAGGUAAGUGGAAUUCCUGGUGUAGCGGUGGAAUGCGUAGAUAUCAGGAGGAAUACCGGUGGCGAAGGCGACUUACUGGACUUAAACUGACGCUCAGGCACGAAAGCGUGGGGAGCAAACAGG
rnacentral:rRNA from 1 species